AUGGGGGCUGGGGCCUUUCACAAAUGUCAUAGAGCAAGAGGCUACACCCUGGACAGGUCACCAGUCUGUCCCAGGGCUAAUACAGAAAGACAGCUUGUAUUCCUCUCUACAGCCAAUGUAGACUCAACAAAUAAUCUAACAGAGAGAACCCACGCACCUCUAAAACUGUCUACCGUGGCUGACUCCUCUGAUUACAAAAAUAUAAUGAAGCAGGGGAAGCUUGUUGGCAAGGCUACCUUUGUGUUUGACAAACAUCUACUAAAUGAGCCUGCAGUGACUCUCAGUUUCACAGAAACAUCCUAUCUCAGUUUUAAAAUACCAAGAUGGCAAUGGCAAAAGUGUUCAGUUUGAGCCUUCACAACGAAACUUCACUAACCAACAGGUGAUGUCACAGUGUCUUUGUCUUUAAAUACAGUAUAUGGUUACAUAUACAUGAAUGACAAGUCCCAAGUGGAACUGAUGGUGAAUAUUGGUAUUUAUUUAUGGUGAACGCAGAGGAAGCGAUUCAUGACAACCAGAGAUCACAGAAAGUCAUCAAGCAACGGUUGGAUCCUUGGAUAUGCUUGUUUUACCAUGAUUGUGUCAGUUUGGAGAGAGCCUAUGAGGAGGGCUUUUCAACCUACGCAAACAUGCUCCUGUGAAGUCCUCCUAAAACCCAACAGCAUGUAGCUCGGCUAUGCGUAGGUCGAAUGCUGGUUGGUUGGCAAGUGGGCCAAAGAGGUUCAGGGAGUGCCAGGACACUUUUCACUGUUUUUAUCACUCAGUCCCACUUUAGCUAGUUUACUGUUAGAACUUUGCUCUUCUGCAGCUGGCUGACAGACCAGCAACAACACAACCAAGAGUAGCCCACAAACAGGCUGUUCAUACCUCCCCCACGGUCUGCACUGCCAACCGUCAACAAUGUUCACCCCAUAACUGCAAAUUUAUCAUACAGUUGCCGGUUUGCAUAAGCAAACCACCGAUUGAUAUGGCAGGAUGGUAAAUAUUGUUAGAUGAUUACCUAGGCAACCAGAAACUGUCUCAUUUUAUCAUGUUUUUUCCCUUUAAGUUGCAUUUCCCAUCUUAAAACCUGACUGGGAGGUUAUUACUUGACACUAUUUGCUGUCUCUCUCUCCCCCUCUCUGCUGUGGGUUAGUAUGGCUUGGUGACAGUGACACUGGUGUCAAGCAAGCUGAACAAAGAGCUGAUACUGUCCCUGAGGACAAUAGCCUGCCUCUCACGCUGUCUUCUUCCCUCUGAAGCAAACCUACAGGCGAGAAGUAUAUUUAAAUGUUGCUGUAAAAGAAAGAAAGACUCGAUCUUUCAGAAACUGCACGCUCCCUUUGUUUGUCCUUUGGCUGCACUUUCUUCACUCCUUUCCAUUCACUUCAUUCCUAUUCUCUGCUUCUCACUUUCUUCCACUGACCUCUAUUUUCCAUUUUCAUUCACUCUCUCCACUUCUCUCCCACCAUUCAUCUCUGUCUCUUUCCUUUCAGUUUCCGAAAAACCCCCACAUGCAUGUUCUCACAUACACGUGCACAUACAUACACACACAGUGGUUUCCCUGUAAUUGGGUUAUGUGUAACUUCAAAUAGCCCCGGCUGACAAUAGGGAGAGCCCAGAGUUCAUCCUCCCCUCCGUGCUUCUCCUUCUCACCCCUCUUUCCCGCUCUAAACUUAUAUUUGUGUGUUUCAUGUGUGUGUGUGUGUAUGAACAUACUGUAUGAGCACGUGUCGCUGCAUGUGUGAGCAUAUUACCAAGACGUGGGUCUUUUUUUUUAAAGCUUCAAGGUUGUUUUCCUGAUCACACUCUGCAACAUUAAAGUUUACAUGUGAAAUAAUACAUGUAAUUUCAUGCACCCGCACAAAAACACACACACGACCCAUUAUAGCUGUGCACAUGAGCUCACCCUAUCCUAUUAGUAGAAAACAAGAAGAGUGGUGAAUAUUUGCUUAAUAUUUAGGCUAUUACAUAACCAUCAAUAUUUACAAUGCAUUCUGGGAAUUGUGUGCAAUUUUUGCGGUUUUGGUGAGAGAGAGAAAAGAGAAAGAGAAACGGCAUUCAGGGUUGAUGGAGGACAGGAAUGGAAAGGAAAGGAAGAAGACAAAAAAGGAAAGGAAGCAAUGUAAGUAAAUGAAAAGAGAGAAAAGAUAAGGAAAUCAAAGAGAGGAAAGGAAAUAAAGAAGAACAUUAGAAAAAGAAAAGAAAGGGGAGGAAAGGUAAGAAAAUCAAAAAAGGAAAGGAAAGGAGAAAAAGGAAGAAGUUAAAGAAAAGAAAGCAAAGGAUGUUAAGGAAAAGGAAGGAGAAGAAUGACAUGAAGCAAAUGGAAAAGAAAAGAAAUGAAUAGGAAGUCAAAAAAGUAAAGAAAACAAAGGAAGCAAAUGAAAAAAAAUGAUAGAGAAGGAAACUAAAAGAAGGAAAGGAAAGGAAAGGAAAGGAAAGGAAAGGAAAGGAAAGAUGAGAUCAUAAAAGACAGAAGGCAGAGAUUGAAGAAGAGAAAAAGAAAAAUAGAAAAGGGCACUGCAGACUUGGAGAAAAAGUGGCAAAAGAAGGGAAAAGAAAGAGAGGAGAGGAAUAAGUGGGACAUUACGCUGAACAAACAACUAUGUGUCAAAGAGGACUGGUUACGGGGAAAAUGAGAGAAAGAACACUCCAGUGGAUGGUAAAGGUCAUGGGAGACAUGCAAUAUAAGCGUGUCGUGUCUUUACUCUCCUCCUUCUUCAUCUUCCCUUUAAUCUCCUCUUCCUUAUACCUCAAUCCUCUUAUAAUCGCAUACAUGUUGACCCAACUCCAACCACAGAGGCAGAAACACUUUAACUGAAACGCCAACAGCACGCAGGCCUAUGCUCUGUAAAGCCCAGAGAGCCUAGUGUUAAUAAAGGCAACCUAAAAACGGACCCAAAACUCAAAGUUAAAUACAAGCAUGAAAGAAAAGCUUUAGCCUUAGCUCUGAGGAUGUUCAUAUCACAUGUCAAGCUGCUCAGUCACAUAAAUCACCCUCAUUAGUUUGAGUAUUUAAAUAAUUUCAAAGCAAAGUAAAUUCUCUCAGAGGGGAAGCCAGCAUGUCUCUCUGGCUUUGUGUUCGGGGGCAAUAAAGACAAAACAGUCAGAGUUAUCUUUCGCUGCAUCCCUGCCGCUUGGAGUGUGUCACAGCAUACAACAUCAAAGCAAUCAGGUCAUAAAAAUACAGAAAAAUCGGUGCAUAUAAGGAUACGGCUUUGAGAUGGUGUUUUUAAACUGAAAUAGUGAGAGUGGCCAUGAGUAGACAGCAAAUAAACAGGGACGACAUUAAUAUAUACACCCUUAUGUUUAUAUUAACCUUAACUUCAACUAAAUUUGCUGCCUUCCAGAGCUUUUCAUCUCCAGAAAACAAAAAAUGAUGAGAAAGACCAACUUAAAUGUCAAGGCGACAUUUCAGCUCAGUUUGGAGGGUGACGGUGGGCUGCUGAGUGCAAGAGAGAGAGAGACAAAAAGAGAGCGAGUGGGAUCUUAACUCCUCAUGUGGAGGCUUCAUCCUGUUCAACCAAUGCUCAUCUCUGCAAGGUUAGCAGGUUUCGGGUUAAAGCGUAAAAGUUGGGACUUCAGGAGUCACCAGAAUGCAAAACAGCCACAAAAAAACAAGUUGCGUGCUCCUGCGUGAUGACAAGCCUAUAGGAAAACAAGGAGAACUGCCAGCAGCCUAUACCCUAUUUCCCCCUUUUUUUCUAAGGUAUUCACGUGUGUGCGUGCGCGAGGCACGCGGCAGAAGGCUGUGUCACCGUCUCUAUAAUGUGACGGUGCUGUGGGCCAAAGUCAUCAAUCACGCAGAUCGAAGCCGCAACAUUAAAUCACUACAGACCCCCACCCCGAGCGAUGACAGCGGAGCGUGAAUCCGUCCCGGUAAAAAGCCGCGGUCUCUCGGACAUCCAUCUGUCAACAAGUACACGAAAAACACCGCCAAAGCCAAAACAUGCUCUGGCGCACAGGAGCCACGCGCUCAGUAGUGGCAUGUAGCUUACCUGAGUGGACUUAGUGGGACGACCUGAGCAAUAACACCUGUAACUCUGGAGAAACGAACCCGGGGCUGGUUUGAUGGGGAAGGCUAAUUAAAGCUGUGAGUGCCGUGCAGCACGAGGGAGAGCAGCUGCGCAGAGAGAAUUACUGACCCGAGACCACCUGAUAAAAUAAUAAAACUGACACGAGACAGAGCAACAGAGCGAGCUCCGAUCCCGCCCCUGCUGCUGCUCCUGAUGAUGAUGAUGAUAAUGAUGAUGAUGAGAGUAGUGAUGAUAAUCAUGGAGAUUAUGGUGAUGGGGAAGAAAGAGACAGCCAUCCUCUGAGACUGUCACGAGAGCGCAUCUGGUGGGGGGGUGAUCACAUCUGGCCGACACGCUGACUGCCUCCUCUCCAAAUAUUAAAAGAGAGACGCACGCACACCUACUCUGUCCGGUGCGGUCACAUGCGUUUCGACCCGGUCUUUUUAGCGGUGAUGCAGCCCGUGCGGUGCGCAGCGUGCAGGUUUUUACUCACCCCGGCUGCUGUCGCCGCCAGUCUCCGUCCGAUCGCGUGUCCUACCCUGUGAUUUAACGGGAGAGAGGGCGAGCCGUGGGCGCAUCCAGCCCCCAUCAGCGCCAUCCAGCGCUGCGGUCGCGGAACACCGCUCUCGCGAUACCGUGCCAUCUCCUCCAGCUCUCUCCGCUCCAACAUGUGACGUAGCGCUUUUAUCACGCUGUUUGCUCAGCCCUAUGCCGCCGCCUUCUGGGCACGAGGCGCGUGGAGUGCGAGGAUGGUGAUGAUGUCAUCCCACGGCUCACCUUCUGCCCUUACCUGUUUUUUGAUCUCCCUGUUUUUCUCUCGUAUCUGACCCGCUGGCAGCAACACGCAGAGGACAUCUGUUUAGUUUUUGUAGCUGGAGACGUGCCAGCACCAGUUUAGAGUCACUAACAGGAACUGCUGGUAGAGCAGGUGAGAGGUCAUGCGGAUACCGUUUAGUUUGGCACUGGGAAGUGCGCGUGAGAGAAUAAAACGGUUUGAAGUCUUUCAAGAACAUAUAUGAUGUGUCUUACUCGUGUUUGGCAUCUUUAUCUUGAGGGCCAGUCGAAUUUGCCCGCCAAUAGCUAUCCAUCCUCUGCGCAUAUCCAGACCAUCUCAGUCUUGCCUCUCUGACUUUGAAUCCAAACCACUCAACACUGACCUGUAGGUGUGAUGUACUAAUUUCUAAUCCUGACCACUGAGGUCACUCCAAAUGAAAAUGUUAAACAGCUGUGUUUUAAUACUAUUGAAAAAGGUAUUGAAAUAUUA
rnacentral:lncRNA from 1 species